rnacentral:rRNA from 1 species
GGGUUGUGAGGUUAAGCGACUAAGCGUACACGGUGGAUGCCCUGGCAGUCAGAGGCGAUGAAGGACGUGCUAAUCUGCGAAAAGCGCCGGCGAGGUGAUAUGAACCCUUGACCCGGCGAUGUCCGAAUGGGGAAACCCAGUGCAAUCCGUUGCACUAUCGUUAACUGAAUACAUAGGUUAACGAGGCGAACCGGGGGAACUGAAACAUCUAAGUACCCCGAGGAAAAGAAAUCAACCGAGAUUCCCCCAGUAGCGGCGAGCGAACGGGGAGCAGCCCGGAGUCUGAAUCAGCUUGUGUGUUAGUGGAACGGUCUGGAAAGUCCGACGGUACAGGGUGAUAGUCCCGUACACGAAAGCACACAUGCUGUGAACUCGAAGAGUAGGGCGGGACACGUGGUAUCCUGUCUGAAUAUGGGGGGACCAUCCUCCAAGGCUAAAUACUCCUGACUGACCGAUAGUGAACCAGUACCGUGAGGGAAAGGCGAAAAGAACCCCGGCGAGGGGAGUGAAAAAGAACCUGAAACCGUGUACGUACAAGCAGUGGGAGCCUCUUUAUGGGGUGACUGCGUACCUUUUGUAUAAUGGGUCAGCGACUUAUAUUCUGUAGCAAGGUUAACCGUAUAGGGGAGCCGAAGGGAAACCGAGUCUUAACUGGGCGUUAAGUUGCAGGGUAUAGACCCGAAACCCGGUGAUCUAGCCAUGGGCAGGUUGAAGGUUGGGUAACACUAACUGGAGGACCGAACCGACUAAUGUUGAAAAAUUAGCGGAUGACCUGUGGCUGGGGGUGAAAGGCCAAUCAAACCGGGAGAUAGCUGGUUCUCCCCGAAAGCUAUUUAGGUAGCGCCUCGUGAACUCAUCUUCGGGGGUAGAGCACUGUUUCGGCUAGGGGGCCAUCCCGGCUUACCAACCCGAUGCAAACUACGAAUACCGAAGAAUGUUAUCACGGGAGACACACGGCGGGUGCUAACGUCCGUCGUGAAGAGGGAAACAACCCAGACCGCCAGCUAAGGUCCCAAAGUCAUGGUUAAGUGGGAAACGAUGUGGGAAGGCACAGACAGCCAGGAUGUUGGCUUAGAAGCAGCCAUCAUUUAAAGAAAGCGUAAUAGCUCACUGGUCGAGUCGGCCUGCGCGGAAGAUGUAACGGGGCUAAACCAUGCACCGAAGCUGCGGCAGCGACGCUUAUGCGUUGUUGGGUAGGGGAGCGUUCUGUAAGCCGUUGAAGGUGUGCUGUGAGGCAUGCUGGAGGUAUCAGAAGUGCGAAUGCUGACAUAAGUAACGAUAAAGCGGGUGAAAAGCCCGCUCGCCGGAAGACCAAGGGUUCCUGUCCAACGUUAAUCGGGGCAGGGUGAGUCGACCCCUAAGGCGAGGCCGAAAGGCGUAGUCGAUGGGAAACAGGUUAAUAUUCCUGUACUUGGUGUUACUGCGAAGGGGGGACGGAGAAGGCUAUGUCAGCCGGGCGACGGUUGUCCCGGUUUAAGCAUGUAGGCGGAGGUUCCAGGUAAAUCCGGUACCUUGUUAACGCUGAGGUGUGAUGACGAGGCACUACGGUGCUGAAGUGAUAAAUGCCCUGCUUCCAGGAAAAGCCUCUAAGCAUCAGGUAACACGAAAUCGUACCCCAAACCGACACAGGUGGUCAGGUAGAGAAUACCAAGGCGCUUGAGAGAACUCGGGUGAAGGAACUAGGCAAAAUGGUGCCGUAACUUCGGGAGAAGGCACGCUGAUGUGUAGGUGAAGCCCCUGCGGGUGGAGCUGAAAUCAGUCGAAGAUACCAGCUGGCUGCAACUGUUUAUUAAAAACACAGCACUGUGCAAACACGAAAGUGGACGUAUACGGUGUGACGCCUGCCCGGUGCCGGAAGGUUAAUUGAUGGGGUUAGCGGCAACGCGAAGCUCUUGAUCGAAGCCCCGGUAAACGGCGGCCGUAACUAUAACGGUCCUAAGGUAGCGAAAUUCCUUGUCGGGUAAGUUCCGACCUGCACGAAUGGCGUAAUGAUGGCCAGGCUGUCUCCACCCGAGACUCAGUGAAAUUGAACUCGCUGUGAAGAUGCAGUGUACCCGCGGCAAGACGGAAAGACCCCGUGAACCUUUACUAUAGCUUGACACUGAACACUGGUCCUUGAUGUGUAGGAUAGGUGGGAGGCUUUGAAGCGUGGACGCCAGUCUGCGUGGAGCCGCCCUUGAAAUACCACCCUUUAAUGGCUGGUGUUCUAACGUGGACCCGUAAUCCGGGUUGCGGACAGUGUCUGGUGGGUAGUUUGACUGGGGCGGUCUCCUCCCAAAGAGUAACGGAGGAGCACGAAGGUUGGCUAAUCCUGGUCGGACAUCAGGAGGUUAGUGCAAUGGCAUAAGCCAGCUUGACUGCGAGCGUGACGGCGCGAGCAGGUGCGAAAGCAGGUCAUAGUGAUCCGGUGGUUCUGAAUGGAAGGGCCAUCGCUCAACGGAUAAAAGGUACUCCGGGGAUAACAGGCUGAUACCGCCCAAGAGUUCAUAUCGACGGCGGUGUUUGGCACCUCGAUGUCGGCUCAUCACAUCCUGGGGCUGAAGUAGGUCCCAAGGGUAUGGCUGUUCGCCAUUUAAAGUGGUACGCGAGCUGGGUUUAGAACGUCGUGAGACAGUUCGGUCCCUAUCUGCCGUGGGCGCUGGAGAAUUGAGGGGGGCUGCUCCUAGUACGAGAGGACCGGAGUGGACGCAUCACUGGUGUUCGGGUUGUCAUGCCAAUGGCACUGCCCGGUAGCUAAAUGCGGAAGAGAUAAGUGCUGAAAGCAUCUAAGCACGAAACUUGCCCCGAGAUGAGUUCUCCCUGAGACUUUAAGUCUCCUGAAGGAACGUUGAAGACGACGACGUUGAUAGGUCGGGUGUGUAAGCGCAGCGAUGCGUUGAGCUAACCGAUACUAAUGAACCGUGAGGCUUAACCUUACAACGCCGAAGGUGUUU